rnacentral:rRNA from 1 species
AUGAAUUUACUCUAAUAAAUGGAUGUCUAGCUUCCACACACGAUGACUAACGUUCCUUACUGUGAAAGUCAUUGCAUAUGGGAACAUUGGGAUGGAUAUCUUUUAACGACAUUGCGCAUACCUGAUGUUGAUUGCACUGAAUACCCCCUAACCUGCAUCAUUUUAUUUUCUUCUUUUUUAGAUUAAAUCUUCUUUAUUACACAAUGUUUGAAUAUAUGAAAAAAAACCCGCUGAUCUGAAAUAUCUCGGAAUACCCACGAAAACUGACUAUCUCAUUAAGCGGAGGAAAAGAAACUAAA